rnacentral:misc_RNA from 1 species
GUGAAUCAUCGAAUUUUUGAACGCAAAUUGCACUCUCUGGUAUUCCGGAGAGUAUGCCUGUUUGAGGGUCAUUUUAAAUAAAAAUCGGUGUGUUUGCUUCCUUUCGUUGUUACGCACCGGACUUGUUUCUGCUUUCCUUCGUUUAAGUCACCUAUAAUGUUGCAUGAUUUUUUUCGAACGUAUUUUAAUGAUUUUACGUAUGUUUCCUAUAUCGAAUACUAGGUGUUUUCAUCUUCAUUAUUCGCGCCUAUAAUUUUUCAUCAAAAUAA